GAUGAACGCUGGCGGCGUGCCUAAUACAUGCAAGUCGAGCGAACAGACGAGGAGUUUGCUCCUCUGACGUUAGCGGCGGACGGGUGAGUAACACGUGGAUAACCUACCUAUCAGACUGGGAUAACUUCGGGAAACCGGCGCUAAUACCGGAUAAUAUAUUUAACCGCAUGGUUCAAUAGUGAAAUACGGUUUUGCUGUCACUUAUAGAUCGAUCCGCGCCGCAUUAGCUAGUUGGUAAGGUAACGGCUUACCAAGGCAACGAUGCGUAGCCGACCUGAGAGGGUGAUAGGCCACACUGGAACUGAGACACGGUCCAGACUACUACGGGAGGCAGCAGUAGGGAAUCUUCCGCAAUGGGCGAAAGCCUGACGGAGCAACGCCGCGUGAGUGAUGAAGGUCUUGGGAUCGUAAAACUCUGUUAUUAGGGAAGAACAAAUGUGUAAGUAAAUAUGCACGUAUUGACGGUACCUAAUCAGAAAGCCACGGCUAACUACGUG
rnacentral:rRNA from 1 species